AGCAGCCGCGGUAAUUCCAGCUCCAAUAGCGUAUAUUAAAGUUGUUGCAGUUAAAAAGCUCGUAGUUGAAUUUCGGGAUCAAUUUGCUGGUCGUGCCUCUGGUACGUACUGGUAUUAUUGGUUUCUCCCUUCUGACGAACCAUGAUGUCAUUAAUUUGAUGUCGUGGAUAAUCAGGACUGUUACUUUGAAAAAUUAGAGUGUUUAAAGCAGGCAUUAGCUUGAAUACAUUAGCAUGGAAUAAUGAAAUAGGACGUUUGAUCCUAUUUUGUUGGUUUCUAGGAUUGACGUAAUGAUUAAUAGGGAUAGUUGGGGGCAUUAGUAUUCAAUUGUCAGAGGUGAAAUUCUUGGAUUUAUUGAAGACUAACUACUGCGAAAGCAUUUGCCAAGGAUGUUUUCAUUAAUCAAGAACGAAAGUUAGGGGAUCGAAGACGAUCAGAUACCGUCGUAGUCUUAACCAUAAACUAUGCCGACUAGGGAUCGGAUGAUGUUAAUUUUUAAUGACUCAUU
rnacentral:rRNA from 1 species